rnacentral:rRNA from 1 species
AUGAACGCUGGCGGCGUGCCUAAUACAUGCAAGUCGAGCGAACGGACGAGAAGCUUGCUUCUCUGAUGUUAGCGGCGGACGGGUGAGUAACACGUGGAUAACCUACCUAUAAGACUGGGAUAACUUCGGGAAACCGGAGCUAAUACCGGAUAAUAUUUUGAACCGCAUGGUUCAAAAGUGAAAGACGGUCUUGCUGUCACUUAUAGAUGGAUCCGCGCUGCAUUAGCUAGUUGGUAAGGUAACGGCUUACCAAGGCAACGAUGCAUAGCCGACCUGAGAGGCUGAUAGGCCGCCCUGGAACUGAGACACGGUCCAGACUCCUGCGGGAGGCAGCAGUAGGGAAUCUUACGCAAUGGGCGAAAGCCUGACGGAGCAACGCCGCGUGAGUGAUGAAAGUCUUCGGAUCGUAAAAAUCUGUUAUUAGGGAAGAACAUAUGUGUAAGUAACUGUGCACAUCUUGACGGUACCUAAUCAGAAAGCCACGGCUAACUACGUG